CCACGCAAGCGAGGCCCGCUGUGGCUCAGGCCUGCUGGAGGCAGCACAGGGUAGCUAAAAAACCGAGUCGACGAUGCUGAGCUCCGGCCUGCCCUGCGGUUACCUUACGCAGGAGUGUGGCUUCGGUAAAGGUCCUGACUCCUGUACAAAGCCAACUGGGCUCUGGGAAGACUGAAUAAGUGAACUGGGAAGUCAUUUCUCUUCUAGGAACCUUCAUCUCUCAAAAAUAAAAUGAAGAAUCCAGACAAAAACAAUACCUAAGUUUAGGACAACUAUGUAAUUUAUUACCAAUGCAGAAACAGCUCUAAGAACAAUAUAUUAUUAGUAAUCACACCAAGAUGCUUAUGGACAGGACCAUCCCAAGAAGGAGUCACGGCCUGGAAGAAGCCUGAUCACCACAACUUGCCAGUGAAUAAACAGUUGAUGCCUUCUGCCUUCUGUUCCUUUUUCCUGCCAUCAGUCACCACAAGUGACUACCUGCACCAACUAAAAGAGGCCAAGAACCUGGCCACCUGCCGCAGCACAGACAAGAGACACUGAGUAAAUCAGAGGCGUUGACCGUGUGGCUUCAUUAGUUGGUUGUCCGUAAAUUCAUAUAGCUCCAGUGAUCCUUUCUUGAGGCCUGAUCGUUUAUUUCCUUUCUUCUUUGCAUGUGAAGUGAUCACCACUGUAGGGAACUGUUCUUAUAAGGUAAAAGGACAACUCUAUGACAUUCAGCAAUGCCACUAUGUAGCCUGAAUCCUAAUUGGUCUUAAUAAUAAAAACCUGGAGUCAGAUAUCAGGAUGAAAUCUGAAAGAUCAGAGAAGCAGAGCAGCCAGCCUCUAGAAAGACUUCUACCUCUAGGAAUCCUCAGACUGAAAGGGCCCAGCUCCUGGAUCCACCACACCUUAUUACUUCCUCUCCCCACCCAGCCAUAUCACUUCCUGUUUCCUCCUUCCAAGUGCUGGGAUUAAAGGCAUGUGCCUCCCCAGUUUUAGAAUCAAAGGCAUGAGAUCCCAAGUACUGGGAUUCAAGAUCCUCUAGUGGCUAGCUCUGCACUCUGAUCUCCAGGCAAGCUUUAUUUAUUAAAGCACAAACAAAAUAUCACCACAUCACUAUUUAUGUCUAAAUAUUUCUGAAAGUGGAACAAAAAAAUCCCCCCAAAACAUACACACAAACAGUUUGCUUCAUCCUGAGGACCAACAGCCCAGCUUGUGAUUCUGAGCUGACGGUUUGGGUCCAUACCAGUUCUAUCUCUUUCCUUUGGGGCUGGGGUGGAGCCAGGUAGGCUUAGCAGCAUUUCUACUUGUUCUGCCCCCACCUGUAUCCAGUCUUGCUCUGUCCCACCAGCUAGCUCCCAAAUAACGACACAGAGACUUCUUAUUAAUUAUGAAAGCUUGGCCUUUAGCUUAGGCUUCUCUCGAAUAACUUUUAUAACUUUAAUGAACCCAUUUCUAUUAAUCUACAUUCUGUCAUGCAGAUUAAUCCUUGUGUCUCUUGCACACCUAGAAUCCUCCUCCUAUUUCCUUUCCCUGCCUGGAAGUCCCACCUGUAUCCCUGUCCAGCUGUUGGCUGUUCAGCUUCUUUAUUAAACCAAUCACAGCAAUAUAUCUUCACACAGUGUGCAUAUAUCCCACAACACCUGUCCCUGUCUUGCUACACAGAAAUUGACAUUCUUUGGAAAGCCUGCUCCCUCUGUUUUGUUGGAGACAGACCUUUCCCCCACAGGGAAGGAAGCAACCAGAUGUGCCAUCAUUACAUCACAUAGCCUUGGUUACAAAGAAAUACUCAGGGGCAAAUAAGUGACCAAAGUUGAAUCUGUCCAACUUCUCCUGGGGAUGUUUGCUCUCAGAAAAGAUGAGCCUUUUCCUGCGCUGGUUUUGCAUGGUUAGUAGCAUGUGCACUAUGUCAACAAUUAUCUAGCUGUUCUUUGAAUCUUUUAUGGUCUUUUAAUUAAAAAACAAAAACAAAAACAGAGCCAGAUAUCAGGGUAAAAGCUGAAAGAUCAGAGAAGCAGAACA